AACAUCUAGCUUCUUCUUUGCUACUCAGGAAAAAUAAAAUUAUUAGAGAUUUCUUCUUGUUUUUUUUUUUUUUUAAACUUUUCUGAGGUAAAUUAGGGAAAUUACUGAGGGUAAUCAGAAAGAUAUUGUAUUGUAUUUAGGCUACAUUAGGUAGGUGUUUACCUUGAUGCUUGACUAAUUUACAAAGGAAGAUAAUGACCAAGGUCAGAAAUUCACAUAAUUCAGAAAGACAUGUAAGUUGUUUUUCCUAGAAUUUUAACUAUAUUUCCUGAAGCAUUACCUGUGAGAGAAAAAUCAAGUUAGACUUGGGUAUUCCUUAGCGGUAGCAGAAAAGUUCAGGAAAGAUAUCUAAAACACCCAUAGUAGUACAGUUUAAUUGACAUUUUUUUUCCUUUUAUAAUUUAAGAUUAGAUCAUUUGUUUCUGUGGGUUGAUACUUGGCAGAAAAAAAACCUAUGACAUUUCAUCCAACAAUGCUGAAAUCAGAGAGUUUUUUGUUUGAUUCGUUUUCUGUUUCUGUGGCAUACCACUGUUAGAGAUAACCUUUUCUCCAUCUCAAAAAGUACUAUUUAUAAGGCAGGUGAAAUUCUAUUACUGCCAGUUUAUAGAAGCAUGAAUUUCAUAAUGGCAAAAGCAAAGCCAAAUGCAGCCAGCAGGUAGCCCUGUUUUCCGAUUGUUUUAUCGUGCAGAAAAUGUCACCAAAGUAUAAUUUUUCUAUUUUGCUUAGAAAUUAUAUGGUGUACUAGGUGAGGUCCACAGAGCACAACAUUAAGGCUUGGAAUAAAUCACAAGAGUCUGAGGAACAAGUGAAAAGGAAAUUCCAUGUUGUAUUCUAAAUCAACAGGAUUUAUUUAUUAAUUUUUAUUAAUAGGACACUAGCAAAUCUUUUAUUAAUAUGACACUAGCAAAUUUUUAGUUGCAAAAUAGAGAUAUCAGUAUUGUCACAUGGAAUUUUUUUUCUAAUGUAAAAAAUUCAACCCUUAGUUUAUUAACUGUCCUCAGGUCCACAUGAAAAAAAUAUCUCUGCCAAGUUCUGACGGAUUUCUACAUCUUUCUCCCACAUAGUCCAUUCUCCUUCAGGAACCCCAAAUAAUCUUUAAAAAAUUUAUAUGAGGUUAUAUCCUUCUUAAAAAUCCUUCAAUGGAUUUUAGUUGCACUCAGCAUGAAAUAAGAUCCAUACUCCAUACCAUGACCUAUAAAACUAUACCAGAGUUCUCAUUUAUUUUGAUCUUGGGACCCUUUUGUACUCUUAAAUAUUAUUGAGGAUCUUCCCACUUGGUUUAUGUGAAUUAUGAUUAUUUAUAUUACUUUAGAAAUAAAAAUGGAAAAUUCUAGAAUUAAAAUAUAUUCAUUUAGAAACAGCAGUAAUACAUAGUACACAUCACAUUUUUGAUGAAUGUAAAUUUUUUUUUUUUUUUUUUGCCUUUUAGGGCCACACUUGUGGCAUAUGGAGAUUCCCAAGCUAGGGGUGAAAUCGGAGCUACACCUAUGGUCCUACUCCACAGCCACAGCAACUUGGCUUCUGAGCCGAGUCUGCCACCUGCACCAUAGCUCAUGGCAUUGCUGGAUCCUUAACCCACUGAGCAAGGCCAGGAUCUGAAUCUGCAUCCUCAUGGAUACUAGUUGGAUUCCACUGCACUGAACUUCCGAAAAUAACUUUUUCAAAAGAAAAAAUUAUUGAUUAUAAUGGAAUUGCUUUACUUUUUUUUUCCUGUCUUUUUCUAGGGCUGCCCCUACAGCAUAUGGAAGUUUCCAGGCUAGGGGUCUAAUCAGAGCUGUAGCCGCCGGCCUAUACCACAGCCCCAGCAAUGCUGGAUCCUUAACCCACUGUGUGAGGUCAGGGAUCGAACCCACAACCUCAUGGUUCCUAGUCGGAUUCGUUAACCACUGAGCCAGGAUGGGAACUCAUGCUUUACAUAUUUUUCAAAUUUCUUUCAAGUUUGAUUUAAUGAAAGAUAGCUCCAUUCUCAGAUCUACUUUUUCAUUUACUUUAUUGCAGUACCACAAACCCUUUACUCAGGUCCGUUUUGCUCUGGUCUCCACAGAGAGAUCUCCCUGGUCCACCCACCUAUGCAGUCACUCUGUAUCCUGUUACUUUGCUUUACUUUCCCCAUAGCAUUUAAACUUAGACAAAAUUAUAUAAUUUGUCUGUUUAUUAUCCAUCUUUACCCAUUCGUUUGUAAGCUACCCUUAGGCAAGAACCUUGUUUGUGUUGUAAACCAUAGUGAAAUUGGCUUCUAUUGCUGCCUAACAAAUUAUCCUCACAUUUAGCAGCUUAAAGCAGCAAUCAUUUGUUAUUUUAUAGUUUCUGUGGGUCAGUAUUCAUCUAGGUGUGGUAUAACUGGGUGCCUCUAGCUCAAGAUCACUCUUGAAGUUAGGCUGAAGGACUGACUUGCAAGCUCACUCCUGUGGUUGUUUGCAGGCCAAGAUGAUCUCUUCUAAGUGAACUCAUGUGGGCUAGGGCUACUCAUGUUGGCUUUUCCUAGGGUGACUGUGAGAGAGACAGACAGACAGACAAUAUGAAUGAACCUAAGGCAGAAGCAAUAGUAUUUUCAUAAUCUAACUUUGAAGUGACAUCCAGUCAUUUUGGCCACUUCUAGUCAUUGGAAGGGAGUCUCUAGGUCUCCCUUCCAGGGAGACAACAGGGAUGAGUAACAGGGAGUAGGAAUUACUAGGGGGUGGAAAGGCUGCCUAUCAGCUGUAUCCUUGGGGUCUAGCAUUGUGUCUGGCACAUAGUAGGUGCUUAGUAAAUACUUGCUGAAUGAGCAUAGAGCACUCAGUACUAUACUUGUUGACAGAGAGUGUAGCCUUGUUUUCUGAGCAGAAAAGGGAUUAUUUGCCUUAGAAGGCUUUUAAAAACCCAUGCUGUUCUUCAUGGCUUCUCUAGUACAUUGUAUUUAGGUAGUUGAUAGAGACCUAAAUAGAAGGGAAAAGAGGAAUUUCUUCUAUAAGAAGAGUUGUUGCUGGUGUCUUCUGGGACUUAAAGUGAAAUACUGGGUGAUGUAUUACUUUGGGGCUAUGAUGUGUUCCUGCAGGGGAAAUAGAACUUCCUGUUCAAUAAUGCAUGAUUGCCCAUUCUUAUUCUUACAAUUUUAUCAUUUUGGAGAGGUUGCUGUCUCCUGGUAUCUUCAUUUGGUUUCUCUAGGGUAAGGAACACAUUGGUUGGCCAUAUUUGUUCUAAGAUGUAGUAAUUCCCAAAUUCAGUAACGUUAUCCAUGAACGGUUAUAAUCAUUUUCUAAAUAAAUGUAAUAUGCUUAAUGUAUUUGCUUGCUAAAUAGAACUGCUUUAGUGUGUCUCCCUGUGUUUCUACACUGUAGUGUUACUUUAUUUAGGUCUUUUGAAGGAAAUUUAUAGCUAGUCUUCACUUUUAGUCACAGUAUAAUAACUUUGUUUUUACACUUGUUUCGAGGCUGUCUACAUUAGUCAUGUGUUAAUACGAAUCAGUCUUUAAAAUUGUUUUUAUGGCACUUAGCCUGGACUACCACAAUAAGGAUAAUUUCAACUGAGAGUGGAAAUGGAGGAAGAGAUACUUUUCCAACAAAGAUUAUGUGGGAAAACACAUGUAAAAUAAGUGCCUGAUACAUAACUCAGUAUUCAGUAUUUGCAGUUCUCUUUCCUCAGCUGAAAUUUGGCAGAACACCCCAUUUUCAGGUUAGAGCAUUCUCUUUUUGUGGACACAUCCAGAUUUUAAUUCAGUCUCUUAUUUGUAACCCAGUGAGAGCUGUCCUUAAAACAAAGAGAAUGAUUAGAUUUGGUUGUUAUUCUAUUAGCUACUUCCAAGCUCCAUGUAUUAAAAAUAUCCCUGGGGAGUUAUGACAAAAUCCAGAAAAUAAUCAGAUUGUUUAGCAUAUGUGGUCAACUCCACAGUUAAAGUUGUCAUCAAACAUCAAGAUUUCUCAUAAAUCAUGGAAGUGUUUUAAACAAAGCCCCUGAUUGUUAUGCAAAGAGAAAGCUCUAGAUAGUAAGAAUUGUUAAUAUAUGGAUACGUUAUUUUUAAACCUUUAGAUUAGAAGGAGAUGAAGCUGAUCCUGGUCAUUUUUAUUUUCUUGCUCUAUUUGAGGGGGAGAAUGGGAAUCGGCUAGAGGACUAUUGUAGUUUCAGCUUUUAGACUCUUGAACUAAUAAUAAUAGUUAUCACUUUCUGAACAUUUACUCUGGCCCUAAAACGGUACUUUUUAAAAAACAACAACAACAACAUAAUCUUUAUUCUCAA
rnacentral:lncRNA from 1 species